GAUGAACGCUAGCGAUAGGCUUAACACAUGCGAGUCGAGGGGCAGCGAGGGUAGCAAUACCUGUCGGCGACCGGCGCACGGGUGAGUAACGCGUAUGUAACCUGCCCGCAACAGGGGGAUAACCCGGCGAAAGUCGGACUAAUACCGCAUAAAACAGGGGUCCCGCAUGGGAAUAUUUGUUAAAGAUUUAUCGGUUGCGGGUGGGCAUGCGUACCAUUAGGUAGUUGGUGAGGUAACGGCUCACCAAGCCUUCGAUGGUUAGGGGUUCUGAGAGGAAGGUCCCCCACACUGGUACUGAGACACGGACCAGACUCCUACGGGAGGCAGCAGUGAGGAAUAUUGGUCAAUGGGCGAGAGCCUGAACCAGCCAAGUCGCGUGAAGGAUGACUGCCCUAUGGGUUGUAAACUUCUUUUACAAGGGAAUAAAAUGAGAUACGUGUAUUUUAUUGCAUGUACCUUGGGAAUAAGCAUCGGCUAACUCCGUG
rnacentral:rRNA from 1 species